GAAAAAAAAAUCCACAUGUACUCUGAAACUACAAGUACAAUCGACCUCAAAUUUGCAGUCAGCAGGGCAUAACAUGUACUAAAGGUUUAUAAAAAAACUUGUUGCAGAUAUCUCUCAAAGCUUUUCCUAGAGAACAGAAAUGGCAAUGCCGUAAAAAUCGCUUGCUAGGUCCGUAAAUCUCAGUAAAAACCUACAAUAAAAUGUCCGCUCCGAGAUUGAAAUACUAAUCUGUGUUACAAACAGGUGCUGAAAAAUGUACAUUAUCAGAAAAUAAUCAUUAAAUGUGUUUUAAAGUUACACCGGAUCGAUUAAAUCCAAAACAUGCACUGCCCGUGACCUGUGAUCAAAAUGUCAAUUUCCUACAAUGACAAAAGAAAUUACAUUGUGUACAUUCCAUCUCUACACAUGUUGUCUGUUUAACGUCCCGACCUAAAAAGAAAUUAAAAGACUAAGUUUUCGUUAUUAUAAACCCGCGUCACGUGAUGUCUCCUCAAUCUGGCGCGCGCGCUGUACCUAAAUAUAAAAUAAAAACUUUCCAAACUAAGCAUGAAACUUCUCCGGUAACACAAUACUAUAGACCCCAUACCGAAACAAACAAACGAACAAACAAAUAAACAGACCCCUCCCCCCCCCCAUAUAUAAUCAAUUUCAAAGGGGGAAAGACCUUUAUACAAUUGCUUUUUUAAAGCAAUUGAUUUAUAUUUAUUAUUAUUAUUUUUUUUUUUCUUCGCCACUCUUUUUUUUCCUUCGCUGUUUUUUUGUUUCGCAAGAUAUCGCUUAGAUAUAAGGUAAAUGAUAUCGAACAGUUAAUACGCUUCUGAAACUGACACCGCGUAACAAAAAACUUUACCUUGUAAGAGUUAUCUCCCCGAACACUGUUUUUCUUGUGGCCACUACUCCUUCGCAACCGUAUAAGAAACCGACAAAUUUAUUUUUCCAAAUUGCUCGUUAUAUCCUUAGGAUGUUCUGUUUCAUUUCAACCGAAGCUAUCCGGAGACUCCAUAUGAGAGUAUCCCUCCCUUUUAUAUAUGAUAUCAGUGAUAUGCAUUUCUAACUGGUAAACUAUAAGUGAUAGAGACCUAGGGUCUUUUGAUUUGAAUCCUUGGUCCAAAAAAAAUGAAAAUUAGGUCAAGGUCAAAGGUCAAGGUCAAAUUCUAAUUUUGAUUUUGGCUUAUUUUCACUUAUUUCAUUAACUUUAUAAGAUAUUCGACAAAUUAUUUUUUACUAAAUUGUUAGUUGCGACAUGUCGUAACUUAAAAUUUUGGUUGGAAGGGUGCGUAGACAAUAAACGGGAGUUUUUUGCCCCUCUUAUAUUUAGAAUUAUGCGUAAAGUGAUAUUACUUACUCAUGAACCAUACAUAUUAAGACUAGUGGUCUUUUGAUUCGAUUUGGUGCCUUAGUUUAUGACCUUGAAAUUGAGGUCAAGGUCAUAGGUUAAUUGGACGUUCUAGAUUUUGACCUUUGCUUUAAAUUCAUUCAUAUUUCUAUAUCAUAAAGCCAUAGGAACUGACAUUUUCAACUGAAUUUUAAUAUUUUCAUAUCAAAAUAGAUCCUUAUUGGUUGAAAGACCUUCAAUUGUUCUUUGAACAAUUGUUUUAAUUAGGUUUUCAACCUUUCAUUGAAUUAUUUUUUUUUAUUAUUAUUUUUUUUUUUUUUUUUUUCUUCCGCCAACUUUUUUUCCUUCGCUGUUUUUUUUGUUUCACAAGAUAUCGCUUAGAUAUAAGGUAAAUGAUAUCGACCAGUUAAUACGCUUCUGAAACUGACACCGCGUAACAAAAAACUUUACCUUGUAAGAGUUAUCUCCCCGAAACACUGUUUUUCUUGUGGCCACUACUCUUCGCAACCGUAUAAGAAACCGACAAAUUUAUUUUUCCAAAUUGCUCGUUAUAUCCUUAGGAUGUUUCUGUUUCAUUUCAACCGAAGCUAUCCGGAGACUCCAUAUGAGAGUUAUCCCCCCUUUUAUAUGAAUAUCAGUGAUAUGCAUUUCUAACUGGUAAACUAUAAGUGAUAGAGACCUAGGGUCUUUUGAUUUAAGAUCCUUGGUCCAAAAAAAUGAAAAUUAGGUCAAGGUCAAAGGUCAAGGUCAAAUUCUAAAUUUUGAUUUGGCUGCUUUUUCACCUUUUUUCAUUAACCUUAUAAGAUAUCGACAUUUUUUUUUUUACUAAAUUGUUAGUUGCGACAUGUCGUAACUUAUAAAUUUUUGGUUGCAAGGGUGCGUAAACCAUAAAAGGGAGUUUUUCGCCCCUCUUAUAUUAAGAAUUAUGCGUAAAGUGAUUUUACUCAUGAACCAUACAUAUUAAGGAACUAGUGUCUUUUUAUUUGAGAUGUUUAGUCUAUGACCUUGAAAUUGAGGUCAAGGUCAUAGGUUAAUUGGACGUUCUAGAUUUUGACCUUUGCUUAAAAUUCAUAUUUAUACAUCAUUAAGCCAUAGGAACUGACAUUUUCAACUGAAUUUUUAAAUAUUUUCAUAUCUAAAAUAGAUCCUUAUUGGUUGAAAGACCUUCAAUUGUUCUUUGAACAAUUGGUUUUUAAUUAUUAUUAUUUAUUAUUUUUUUUUUUUUUCUUCGCCAACUUUUUUUUUCCUUCGCUGUUUUUUUGUUUCACAAGAUGUCGCUUAGAUAUAUGGUAUAUGAUAUCGAACAGUUAAUGCGCUUCUGAAACUGACACCGCGUAACAAAAACCUUUACCUUGUAAGAGUUAUCUCCCCGAACACUGUUUUUCUUGUGGCCACUAAGGCUUCGCAACCGUAAAAGAAAGCGACAAAUUUAUUUUUCCAAAUUGCUCGUUAUAUCCUCAGGAUGAUCUGUUUUAUUUUGACCGAAGCUAUCUGGAGACUCCAUAUGAGAGUUAUCCCCCUUUUAUAUAUGAUAUAAGUGAUAUGCAUUUCUAACUGGUAAACCAUAAGUGAUAGAGACCUAGGGUCUUUAGAUUUAAGAUCCUUGGUCCAAAAAAAUGAAAAUUAGGUCAAGGUCAAAGGUCAAGGUCAAAUUCUAAUUUUGAUUUUGGCUUAUUUUCACUUAUUUUCAUUACUUUAUAAGAUUUCGACAAAUAUUUUUACUAAAUUGUUAGUUGCGACAUGUCGUAACUUAUAAAUUUUGAUUGGAAGGGUGCGUAGACAAUAAAUGGGAGUUUUUGCCCCUCUUAUAUUUAGAAUUAUGCGUAAAGUGAUAUUACUCAUGAACCAUACAUAAUACAGAUCUGGGGUCUUUUGAUUUGGGAUUCUAUGUUUAUGACCUUGAAAUUGAGGUCAAGGUCAUAGGUUAUUUGGACGUUCUAGAUUUUGAUUUUUGACCUUUGCUUCUAGAAAUUCAUAUUUAUACAUCAUAAAGCUAUAGGAACUGACAUUUUCAACUGAAUCUUAAUAUUUUCAUAUCUAAAUAGAUCCUUAUUGGUUGAAAGACCUUCAAUUGUUCUUUGAACAAUUGGUUUUUAAUUCUAUUUGUUUCUUUUCAGGGUAUUUCUUUUGCAACAAAGAGGGCAUGCACUAAGUGGUUGGAAAUAGAUCUACAGAACGCAAGUAAUACAUUACAAAAAGUGUCAGAAAUGGAUGAAAGUUAACCGAAGGAAAAUAAUAUGUUGAUUCAUGAAGAAUAAGACAAAUAUUUUCAUUACGUAUUCUACAACUGUCUUUAGUUGGUAAACAACAAUGCUAAAACUACUUUUACUUUUGAUGUCCUUAAGUAACCAAACAUAUUUACACGUACACGCAGAAAAGUUUAUUGCGAUUAUGGCACAGUCAAAAAGUCACAUGUUACCAAUGAUUGC
rnacentral:lncRNA from 1 species